CUUUAGCACAGAAAAGGAGUCUGACAUAGUUAAAGAAGGAGACGCUGGGCUGAUGAAAUCUAUAAAAGGAUUUGAUGACGUGUGGGAGGAAAGCAGCUGGAACAGCAAGGAAAGAAUUUGGUGGCUGCAUUUCUCACAGUGAGAAGAUUUCAUUGGAUAUUGGGAAAUUUGGACUGUAUUGCUCUUUUCAUUCAGUUCCUUUUUCUCUGCAAGAAACUCUUGAAUAUAUUUGUAAUGACAAGAGAAACCUUUUUUGCUUCUACAAAAUUUAUAGCAGCGUUCUAUUUUUCUGCCAGAAAAUCCUCUUACAGAUACAGACAGAAUACAACAUCUCCUUUGCUGCAAUGCUGCACUAACCCAAGGACAAAAAGAGGCAGACAGGCUGCGCUCCCGGGGCUGAGCUGGGUUCUGGGGCAGUUCAAGAACUGCUCACCAUCUACCCCAGGAGCCUGAGCAUGGGCUGCUGCAGAGCUGCCAUUUAUUUCACAUGUAUGAAAUAAAACUUGGAAACAAUGGAAUAAAAAAAUAAAGAAUAAUGGAAUAAAAAAAAAAGAAGUGAAGGACAGUUCUACCCUAUUUUUGCACAGUAACAGCUUAAGCCACUUCUCAGCAGCAGAGCCAGCACGCAGUGGCUGACACCAACCUGCGGCCUCAAGAGGUUUCUGUAGAAAUGUGAUGAGGUUGGCAUCACAGAACCCAAGCCCAGCUACAUGGUAAAGCUCUGAAGUUAACAUACAAGCUCCCUGACGUCCGUGUCAUCUGAAGGCUCUUGAGCAGUUAGAACGAUCUGCUCAUGGCAGUUCACAAGAGCUUUUCACUGCAAAACCAAGCACAGCUGCCUUAAUGCUACUCAGCUGGGCCCACAAUGUUUGGGUUCUCACUCUGUGAC
ensembl:lncRNA